AAGUCGUAACAAGGUCUCCGUAGGUGAACCUGCGGAGGGAUCAUUACCGAGGAUGGCGGCUCUUUAGGCCACCGCCUCACCACACUUUGCUUGAACCCGCCGCUUUUUGGGGCACCUGCUUCGGCCGACGGCCGGCUGGGAGGGAGCGCGCUCCUGCCCAGCCGGCCCAAGGUCCUGCGGUGGGGCCCCAAACUAAAACUAAAGUAUCAGUGUGUCUAGACGGCGAAAGCCGAACCAAACA
rnacentral:misc_RNA from 1 species